GGUCAGAUGGCCGAGUGGUUAAGGCGCUGUGUUUAGGUCAAUUCUACCUGUACAACCGCAGUUCGAAAGAGCGUGGGUUCAAGUCCCACUCUGAUCA